CAAAAGGAUCAUUCACUCAUUAUCCUUGUGUUCAGUGAAGAAAUAAAAUCCUACGGUGAAGAUUUCGAAGAAGGGACAUUGACAAAGUGAUCCUGUCCUAGGGCAAAGGUUAUGUAUUUUGGCUGGCAGCCAGCUAGUCAUACAACUGGGUGAUAAGCUCGUAAGUAGAAGCCACAUUUCGUAGGUAAUAUUGUUUUUACUCAGGUGGUAUUGGAACAGUGAUCAACUAUGGAGGUAAAGAUGGGCUAUCUGUAAUAUAAGUUAGAAAAGUAUCAUUAUUCAGAAACUUGUGGGAUGUGUUUAUGAUGUCUGCAUUGUCUAUCAGCUUGCUAUGUGAUUUGCUUCCUGUUGGAAUCCUGUUCUAUCUGACUGAAUCAAUAAUAUAGACAUUGUUAACAAAUCUAUUAAGUAACAUUCUAGCAGUAAUACAGUUUUUGUUUCAUAGAAAUGACUGUACCUUGUAAAAUUAACGAAACCUGUUAGGGUGUUACUUAUGUCAGGUAAAGGGAGUUCUCUUUAGGGAUGGGCUGAGAAAUACAUACAUACAGACUGCUUAGUGUAAUAAUCUAUAACUGAGUAAGUUACGUUAAAAAAUUCUGUGUGACAUUUCAGCUCAACCAUUGAAUUUUGGUCAACCUUUAAUAUUCUGAAAUCAUCUGAUUAUAGUUUUGCUAGAAGAGUCUGGAAAAUGAAUUUAAGAUUUUUAUUCUUGUUUCAUAAGUAGAGUAUAAUUUCUUCUAGGAUUAUUUGGUAGACUUUUAAACAAAAUUUAUAUAAUUAGGAAAUGAUAUGAAACAGUAGGUACUCGUUUGUGUGUGUGUGUGUUCAUUUUUGUAAUUCUUUCAUUUCCUUCCUUAUAGAGUGCUAAGUGUUUAUAAAGUGUAGUAUACUACUUCCUCAGGUUCAUAUGUAGAACACCACAGACUCAUUGGAUUACAAUUCGUUUAAUCACACCUUUAGAGACCAAAGUCCAAGAUGAGGGAGCUGGCAGGGGUGGUUUCUGCAAAUGGCUGUCUCCUUGCUUUAUCCUCCAUCCUUACAUGGCCUUUCCUCUGCUGUCUUUUCCCUCCCCUGCCCCCCUCUCCCUUUCUCCCCAACUCCUUUUGGAGGCACUGAGGAUCAAAGUUUUCUCCACAUUGAGCUGCAUCGCCUGCCAGCCCGCCAGUCAUAUUCAUCAGUCUCCUUAAAGUUCCCAUCUCCCAAUAGGCCAUAUUUGGGGAUUGGGGAUUCAAUAUGUAAAUUUUGAGGGGGAAAAGUUUAAUUUAUAGCAUAUGGUAAAGAUUGACGAAGAAAAACAAUCUUCUGAAAUGUCAUUCAUUCCUCGGAUAAAACCAGAGUUGACAUUUAAUUUUUUUUUCUCAUCAUAUUUCCUUUGUGUUCCAAAGCUCUGAGAUCACACCAUGAAAAAGAACCUUUCAGUUCUCGUUAAAGAAAACUAAGUCAGAGUUUGGGAAGCACAGAUGCUUCCACAGACAAUCAGGCACACAGUAAAUAAUAACCACCAUUUCUUGAAUCCUGUGUGCUAAGUACUUUUCUAGGAGGUUCUAUGACUGUGUGCGUUUUCUUUUUUAACCUGCAGGAUAAGUCAAUAAAGUAACACUUAACUCUUUUCAUUUGUGAUCCAUGAAAUUUUUUAUGCAGCUUUAUACAACUAGGCAAACAAAAAUCAAUAUCAGAUCAAACAUUACUUACUGUAAAUGAUAGAGAAAAUUUAUUUUACUAUAUUUUUAGUAGACAUAUAAUUUUACCCUUUAUUAAAGAUGAAAGAACAUUUCCAUAGUGAUGAGAUGGGUGUGCGUGUUUCUUUUUUAUGUGGAACUCAAUCUUGGCUGAAUAUUUGGC
ensembl:lncRNA